GAUUGUAGUCAUAUGCUUGUCUCAAAGAUUAAGCCAUGCAUGUCUAAGUACUUGCCGAAAUAAGGUGAAACCGCGAAUGGCUCAUUAAAUCAGUUACGGUUCUAUAGAUAUUGACUAUCUACAUGGAUAACUGUGGUAAUUCUAGAGCUAAUACAUGCACAAAAGCCCUAACCUUGCGGGGGGGGCGCAUUUAUUAGAACAAGACCAAUGGGGCUCCUUGUGGGUCCUUACGUUGGUGACUCUGGAUAACUUCAGCUGAUCGCACGGCCUCCGAGCCGGCGACGAAUCUUUCAAGUGUCUGCCUUAUCAACUGUCGAUGGUAGGUUAUGCGCCUACCAUGGUUGCAACGGGUAACGGGGAAUCAGGGUUCGAUUCCGGAGAGGGAGCCUGAGAAACGGCUACCACAUCCAAGGAAGGCAGCAGGCACGCAAAUUACCCACUCCCAGAACGGGGAGGUAGUGACGAAAAAUAACAAUACGGGACUCUAAUGAGGCUCCGUAAUUGGAAUGAGAACAAUCUAAAUCCUUUAACGAGGAUCUAUUGGAGGGCAAGUCUGGUGCCAGCAGCCAAU
rnacentral:rRNA from 1 species